AAUGUUACGAUUCGUUCAUCAGAACAGGACUCAACUUUACCAUGGCCUCACUCCCCACUCAUGUGGGGCUUGUAGACGUGUCACAGACUAGACAGCAUCGUUCUCCCUUUAUAACACCCAGGGUGGGCAGAGGCUGGGUGUGUGUUGUAUGUGUGCGUGGGGGGUGGGGUGGGGAGAGAAAUAGUUGUUACUACUCAGAGAAGGCUGGGGCUGUUUACUUAGGAUGUAAUAAUUCUCCUUGUGGUAUUCUGGACUUGAGAGUGGGUGGAACAAUUUGGCUCUGACAAUGAACGAGUGACCUCUUCAGCCCUAAAUUUUUACUCACGUAACUUUGCCCAGUUGUCUAAGUGAAAAUGGAAAAGCUGCAGAAUGAUAAACCUGGCUACACUCCUGGAAACAAUAAAUGACAAAUCCUAAUACUGCAAAGCCAUCUUUACUUCUGGGAAAUUAUGGAGUGGCAUUUGUAAAGUCUGAUGGGGCAGUGGAGCCCGUGCAGAGGGCUCGGAGCCUUGGCUCACGUGUGGUCCAUGGUCCCACAUCCCGCCUCCUGCUGCCUCCCUGGGGCAGGGGAUCUUGACCAUCUGCUCCCACCUCUGAUGUCCUGGCCAGUCUAACCUUCCCUCCACAAUGUCGCCUGGGGAAGCAAUGGGGUUUUGUUCCAUCCUCACCCUCCAUCCCUGCCUGGGAUGUGAGCACAGGCAAGAAUAUCUUGGAAAGUGCUACUGCAAUCCACCCUAGAGCUGGAUAACUUAACAGAACGACAACAACCCAACAACCCAGACCAGUAACCACAAGAUUAGAAGAGAAAAAAAUUCACUAACUUCAGAGGAACAAAUUACAAGCGAAAUGUCACUAUAUUCCUUCUUUGGAGACUCUCCUGUUUCAAACGUACACUCUGUCCUGAUCAGAACAAAACCCCAAAGACCCAAAGGUACUGCAUACCUAGGUUCAUUUUUGACUUUUGCUUUCCUUCAGCAUCUCCCUGGGCAUUCCUUUGGUCUUCCUGCAGGCCCCCCCCCACCCCCAUCCACUCCUGGGAGGCCGAACAAGAAGAAAACGAGCUGAAA